rnacentral:rRNA from 1 species
CCGAUUGAAUGGCUCAGUGAGGCGUCCGGACUGGCCCAGAGAGGUGGGCAACUACCACUCAGGGCCGGAAAGCUCUCCAAACUCGGUCAUUUAGAGGAAGUAAAAGUCGUAACAAGGUCUCCGUUGGUGAACCAGCGGAGGGAUCAUUA